CUUAGUAACGGCGAGUGAAGCGGCAACAGCUCAAAUUUGAAAUCUGGAGUCUUCGACUUCCGAGUUGUAAUUUGAAGAGGAUGCUUCGGUUGUAGCUCCGGCCUAAGUUCCUUGGAACAGGACGUCGCAGAGGGUGAGAAUCCCGUACGCGGCUGGCGGCUUACUUCCAUGUGUAGCUCCUUCGAAGAGUCGAGUUGUUUGGGAAUGCAGCUCUAAAUGGGUGGUAAAUUUCAUCUAAAGCUAAAUACUGGCGAGAGACCGAUAGCGCACAAGUAGAGUGAUCGAAAGAUGAAAAGCACUUUGAAAAGAGAGUUAAACAGUACGUGAAAUUGUUGAAAGGGAAGCGCUUGCAAUCAGACUUGCUUGCGGUUGAUCAACGUUCCUUUUGGUUCGUGCACUCUGCCGUUCGCAGGCCAGCAUCGGUUGCCGCCGUGGGACAAAGACUCAGGGAAUGUGGCUCUCUUCGGGGAGUGUUAUAGCCCUGUGUGUAAUGCCACGAGCGGCGACCGAGGACCGCGCUUUUUGCUAGGAUGCUGGCUUAAUGGUUGUAAGCGACCCGUCUUGAAACACGGACCAAGGAGUCUAACAUCUAUGCGAGUGUUUGGGUGUCAAACCCAUACGCGUAAUGAAAGUGAACGGAGGUGGGAGUCUUCGGAUGCACCAUCGACCGAUCCUGAUGUUCUCGGAUGGAUUUGAGUAGGAGCAUAGCUGUUGGGACCCGAAAGAUGGUGAACUAUGCCUGAAUAGGGUGAAGCCAGAGGAAACUCUGGUGGAGGCUCGCAGCGGUUCUGACGUGCAAAUCGA
rnacentral:rRNA from 1 species